rnacentral:rRNA from 1 species
AGUGAACGCUGGCGGUAGGCCUAACACAUGCAAGUCGAACGGCAGCACAGUAAGAGCUUGCUCUUACGGGUGGCGAGUGGCGGACGGGUGAGGAAUACAUCGGAAUCUACUUUUUCGUGGGGGAUAACGUAGGGAAACUUACGCUAAUACCGCAUACGACCUACGGGUGAAAGCAGGGGAUCUUCGGACCUUGCGCGAUUGAAUGAGCCGAUGUCGGAUUAGCUAGUUGGCGGGGUAAAGGCCCACCAAGGCGACGAUCCGUAGCUGGUCUGAGAGGAUGAACGGCCACACUGGAACUGAGACACGGUCCAGACUCCUACGGGAGGCAGCAGUGGGGAAUAUUGGACAAUGGGCGCAAGCCUGAUCCAGCCAUACCGCGUGGGUGAAGAAGGCCUUCGGGUUGUAAAGCCCUUUUGUUGGGAAAGAAAAGCAGCAGGUUAAUACCCCGCUGUUCUGACGGUACCCAAAGAAUAAGCACCGGCUAACUUCGUG